rnacentral:misc_RNA from 1 species
AAAAGAUGCCCUAACUACUGACGAGAAAGAUUAUGUUGAAACAAGGGAGGCUGUUGGAGAGAACAAAAUAGAUUCAAAAGGUGAGGAUAAAUUUAAAGAGAAGGACAGGAAAAGAAAAGAUACAAAGCAGCGGGAUUGGGGAGAUAAAGAUAAGGAAAGAAAUGAUCAUAGGAGCAGUACUCAAGCAACAAACACUAACGUUGAGCCCAAAGACUUGUCAAAGGAAGAGAGAGAUGUGGAAAGGUGGGAGAGGGACCGGAAAGAUACCUCAAAAGACAAGGAAAGACCUCGUGAAAGGGACAAAGACCAUGCUGCGAAGAGAGAAUCAUGGAAUGGGAUGGAUAAGGAGACUGCACACCUUGAAAAGGAGUCAGGUGAAGUGUCUGCGAGAAUGUUAGAGCAGGACAAUCCAAUUUCAGAUCAGAAAAAGCAGAAGGAUUUUGAUAGCUGGAAAAAUGCUGAUAGAGAGGGUAGAGACAGGAAGAAAGAGAGGGAUGCAGACAUCGAGGGAGAUCGGCCAGAAAAGCGUAGUAGAU